rnacentral:rRNA from 1 species
UGAGGAAUAUUGGUCAAUGGGCGUAAGCCUGAACCAGCCAAGUCGCGUGAGGGAUGAAGGUUCUAUGGAUCGUAAACCUCUUUUAUAAGGGAAUAAAGUGCGGGACGUGUCCCGUUUUGUAUGUACCUUAUGAAUAAGGAUCGGCUAACUCCGUGCCAGCAGCCGCGGUAAUACGGAGGAUCCGAGCGUUAUCCGGAUUUAUUGGGUUUAAAGGGUGCGUAGGCGGCCUUUUAAGUCAGCGGUGAAAGUCUGUGGCUCAACCAUAGAAUUGCCGUUGAAACUGGGGGGCUUGAGUAUGUUUGAGGCAGGCGGAAUGCGUGGUGUAGCGGUGAAAUGCUUAGAUAUCACGCAGAACCCCGAUUGCGAAGGCAGCCUGCCAAGCCAUGACUGACGCUGAUGCACGAAAGCGUGGGGAUCAAACAGGAUUAGAUACCCUGGUAGUCCACGCAGUAAACGAUGAUCACUAGCUGUUUGCGAUACACUGUAAGCGGCACAGCGAAAGCGUUAAGUGAUCCACCUGGGGAGUACGCCGGCAACGGUGAAACUCAAAGGAAUUGACGGGGGCCCGCACAAGCGGAGGAACAUGUGGUUUAAUUCGAUGAUACGCGAGGAAUCUUACCCGGGUUUGAACGCAUUCGGACCGAGGUGGAAACACCUUUUCUAGCAAUAGCCGUUUGCGAGGUGCUGCAUGGUUGUCGUCAGCUCGUGCCGUGAGGUGUCGGCUUAAGUGCCAUAACGAGCGCAACCCUUGCCACUAGUUACUAACAGGUUAGGCUGAGGACUCUGGUGGGACUGCCAGCGUAAGCUGCGAGGAAGGCGGGGAUGACGUCAAAUCAGCACGGCCCUUACAUCCGGGGCGACACACGUGUUACAAUGGCGUGGACAAAGGGAAGCCACCUGGCGACAGGGAGCGAAUCCCCAAACCACGUCUCAGUUCGGAUCGGAGUCUGCAACCCGACUCCGUGAAGCUGGAUUCGCUAGUAAUCGCGCAUCAGCCACGGCGCGGUGAAUACGUUCCC